AGAGUUUGAUCCUGGCUCAGAACGAACGCUGGCGGCAUGCCUAACACAUGCAAGUCGAACGCGUGGUUUCGGCCACGAGUGGCGCACGGGUGAGUAGCGCGUGGGAACCUGCCCUUGGGUUCGGGAUAACCGCGGGAAACUGCGGCUAAUACCGGAUACUCCCUUUGGGGGAAAGAUUUAUCGCCUGAGGAGGGGCCCGC
rnacentral:rRNA from 1 species